rnacentral:rRNA from 1 species
UACGAAGGGGCUAGCGUUGUUCGGAAUUACUGGGCGUAAAGGGCGCGUAGGCGGCCAACUAAGUCAGACGUGAAAUCCCUCGGCUUAACCGGGGAACUGCGUCUGAUACUGGAUGGCUUGAGUUCGGGAGAGGGAUGCGGAAUUCCAGGUGUAGCGGUGAAAUGCGUAGAUAUCUGGAGGAACACCGGUGGCGAAGGCGACAUCCUGGACCGGUAUUGACGCUGAGGCGCGAAAGCCAGGGGAGCAAACGGGG